GAAAUGCGAUAAGUAGUGUGAAUUGCAGAAUUCAGUGAAUCAUCGAAUCUUUGAACGCACAUUGCGCCCCUUGGUAUUCCAUGGGGCAUGCCUGUUCGAGCGUCAUCUACACCCUCAAGCUCUGCUUGGUGUUGGGCGUCUUUGUCCCGCCUCCGCGCGCGGACUCGCCCCAAAUUCAUUGGCAGCGGUCCUUGCCUCCUCUCGCGCAGCACAUUGCGCUUCUCGAGGUGUUGCGGCCCGCGUCCAGAAAGCAAUCGUUACCGUCUUUGAACUCGGAUCAGGUAGGGAUACCCGCUGAACUUAAGC
rnacentral:misc_RNA from 1 species